rnacentral:rRNA from 1 species
CCUUACACAUGCAAGUCGAACGGCAGCGGGGGUAGCUUGCUACCUCCGGCGAGUGGCGAACGGGUGAGUAAUACAUCGGAACGUGCCCUGUAGUGGGGGAUAACUAUCGAAAGACUAGCUAAUACCGCAUACGACCUGAGGGUGAAAGUGGGGGACCGCAAGGCCUCAUGCUAUAGGAGCGGCCGAUGUCUGAUUAGCUAGUUGGUGGGGUAAAGGCCCACCAAGGCGACGAUCAGUAGCUGGUCUGAGAGGACGAUCAGCCACACUGGGACUGAGACACCCAGACUCCUACGGGAGGCAGCAGUGGGGAAUUUUGGACAAUGGGGGCAACCCUGAUCCAGCAAUGCCGCGUGUGUGAAGAAGGCCUUCGGGUUGUAAAGCACUUUUGUCCGGAAAGAAAUCGCUUCGGUUAAUACCUGGAGUGGAUGACGGUACCGGAAGAAUAAGGACCGGCUAACUACGUGCCAGCAGCCGCGGUAAUACGUAGGGUCCAAGCGUUAAUCGGAAUUACUGGGCGUAAAGCGUGCGCAGGCGGUUGUGCAAGACCGAUGUGAAAUCCCCGGGCUUAACCUGGGAAUUGCAUUGGUGACUGCACAGCUAGAGUGUGUCAGAGGGAGGUAGAAUUCCACGUGUAGCAGUGAAAUGCGUAGAGAUGUGGAGGAAUACCGAUGGCGAAGGCAGCCUCCUGGGAUAACACUGACGCUCAUGCACGAAAGCGUGGGGAGCAAACAGGAUUAGAUACCCUGGUAGUCCACGCCCUAAACGAUGUCAACUAGUUGUUGGGGAUUCAUUUCCUUAGUAACGUAGCUAACGCGUGAAGUUGACCGCCUGGGGAGUUCGCAAGAUUAAAACUCAAAGGAAUUGACGGGGACCCGCACAAGCGGUGGAUGAUGUGGAUUAAUUCGAUGCAACGCGAAAAACCUUACCUACCCUUGACAUGCCACUAACGAAGCAGAGAUGCAUUAGGUGUCGAAAGAGAAAGUGGACACAGGUGCUGCAUGGCUGUCGUCAGCUCGUGUCGUGAGAUGUUGGGUUAAGUCCCGCAACGAGCGCAACCCUUGUCUCUAGUUGCUACGAAAGGGCACUCUAGAGAGACUGCCGGUGACAAACCGGAGGAAGGUGGGGAUGACGUCAAGUCCUCAUGGUCCUUAUGGGUAGGGCUUCACACGUCAUACAAUGGUGCAUACAGAGGGUUGCCAAGCCGCGAGGUGGAGCUAAUCCCAGAAAAUGCAUCGUAGUCCGGAUCGUAGUCUGCAACUCGACUACGUGAAGCUGGAAUCGCUAGUAAUCGCGGAUCAGCAUGCCGCGGUGAAUACGUUCCCGGGUCUUGUACACACCGCCCGUCACACCAUGGGAGUGGGUUUUGCCAGAAGUAGUUAGCCUAACCGCAAGGGGGGCGAUUACCACGCAGGGUUCAUGACUGG